CUUGGAAAGUGACACUAAACUUUCCUAGCCAGAAGCAGAAGACUGAUAUUAUCACCCAGGCCUGUGCAAGGCUUGCGUGGCUUUGCACCCAACUCAUACACGCAGUUGGGAUUAUUGCCAGCAGAGGAUAGUUGGUUCACUUAAUUGGACUUAAAGAAUACCUCCUUAGCAUUAGACUGGC